CUAAUACAUUUCCACGUGUCAGAUUCCAAUUGGAUUGGUUUUAAAUUUUGAGUUUCCCUUUCACAAAAUGGGCACCCUCUCCUUUAUUUUUUUGCAGCAACAUCAUUUCUAGUCUGUGCUUUUUAUUUCCUAAUUGUUUUUGUUUUAUUUUUUUAUUUUUUAUUUUUUUGCAAAUUAGAUUUAAUAUAAUUGUAAUGGGCUUUAAGCCCUAUGAAUCCUAAUAUCUUCUUAUUGUUCAACCCCCAUAUCUAUGUCUACCAUUCCCUAUUCUUAUUUUCCAUUUAACCAUU
rnacentral:lncRNA from 1 species